rnacentral:rRNA from 1 species
UUAGAGUUUGAUCCUGGCUCAGGAUGAACGCUGGCGGCGUGCUUAACACAUGCAAGUCGAACGGGAAUUACUUUAUUGAAACUUCGGUCGAUUUAAUUUAAUUCUAGUGGCGGACGGGUGAGUAACGCGUGGGUAACCUGCCUUAUACAGGGGGAUAACAGUCAGAAAUGGCUGCUAAUACCGCAUAAGCGCACAGAGCUGCAUGGCUCAGUGUGAAAAACUCCGGUGGUAUAAGAUGGACCCGCGUUGGAUUAGCUUGUUGGUGGGGUAACGGCCCACCAAGGCGACGAUGCAUAGCCGGCCUGAGAGGGCGGACGGCCACAUUGGGACUGAGACACGGCCCAAACUCCUACGGGAGGCAGCAGUAGGGAAUUUUCGUCAAUGGGGGGAACCCUGAACGAGCAAUGCCGCGUGAGUGAGGAAGGUCUUCGGAUCGUAAAGCUCUGUUGUAAGAGAAAAACGACAUUCAUAGGGAAUGAUGAGUGAGUGAUGGUAUCUUACCAGAAAGUCACGGCUAACUACGUGCCAGCAGCCGCGGUAAUACGUAGGUGGCGAGCGUUAUCCGGAAUGAUUGGGCGUAAAGGGUGCGUAGGUGGCAGAACAAGCCUGGAGUAAAAGGUAUGGGCUCAACCCGUACUGGCUCUGGAAACUGUUCAGCUAGAGAACAGAAGAGGACGGCGGAACUCCAUGUGUAGCGGUAAAAUGCGUAGAUAUAUGGAAGAACACCGGUGGCGAAGGCGGCCGUCUGGUCUGUUGCUGACACUGAAGCACGAAAGCGUGGGGAGCAAAUAGGAUUAGAUACCCUAGUAGUCCACGCCGUAAACGAUGAGAACUAGGUGUCGGGGGAAUAACUCAGUGCCGCAGUCAACGCAAUAAGUUCUCCGCCUGGGGAGUAUGCACGCAAGUGUGAAACUCAAAGGAAUUGACGGGGGCCCGCACAAGCAGUGGAUUAUGUGGUUUAAUUCGACGCAACGCGAAGAACCUUACCGGGAUUUGACAUCCUACUAACGAAGUAGAGAUACAUUAGGUGCCCUUCGGGGAAAGUAGAGACAGGUGGUGCAUGGUUGUCGUCAGCUCGUGUCGUGAGAUGUUGGGUUAAGUCCCGCAACGAGCGCAACCCCUAUUGUUAGUUGCUACGAAAGAGCACUCUAGCGAGACUGCCGUUGACAAAACGGAGGAAGGCGGGGACGACGUCAAAUCAUCAUGCCCCUUAUGUCCCGGGCUACACACGUAAUACAAUGGCGAUCAACAGAGGGAAGCAAAGCCGCGAGGCAGAGCAAAUCCCCAAAAGUCGUCUCAGUUCGGAUUGCAGGCUGAAACCCGCCUGCAUGAAGUUGGAAUUGCUAGUAAUCGCGGAUCAGCAUGCCGCGGUGAAUACGUUCCCGGGCCUUGCACACACCGCCCGUCA